rnacentral:rRNA from 1 species
GAUGAACGCUGGCGGCGUGCCUAAUACAUGCAAGUAGAACGCUGAAGGAAGGAGCUUGCUCUUUCCGGAUGAGUUGCGAACGGGUGAGUAACGCGUAGGUAACCUGCCUGGUAGCGGGGGAUAACUAUUGGAAACGAUAGCUAAUACCGCAUAACAGUAGAUGUUGCAUGAUAUCUACUUAAAAGGUGCAAUUGCACCACUACCAGAUGGACCUGCGUUGUAUUAGCUAGUUGGUGAGGUAACGGCUCACCAAGGCGACGAUACAUAGCCGACCUGAGAGGGUGAUCGGCCACACUGGGACUGACACGGCCCAGACUCCUACGGGAGGCAGCAGUAGGGAAUCUUCGGCAAUGGACGGAAGUCUGACCGAGCAACGCCGCGUGAGUGAAGAAGGUUUUCGGAUCGUAAAGCUCUGUUGUAAGAGAAGAACGAGUGUGAGAGUGGAAAGUUCACACUGUGACGGUAUCUGACCAGAAAGGGACGGCUAACUACGUG